GUUGUUUUGGCAGAUAAAUGUAGUAAAUUUAGAAUUUACUUAUGUAAUUUUUUUACAAACAAUA
rnacentral:tRNA from 1 species